ACAGGAAGAAGCUUGCUUCUUUGCUGACGAGUGGCGGACGGGUGAGUAAUGUCUGGGAAACUGCCUGAUGGAGGGGGAUAACUACUGGAAACGGUAGCUAAUACCGCAUAACGUCGCAAGACCAAAGAGGGGGACCUUCGGGCCUCUUGCCAUCGGAUGUGCCCAGAUGGGAUUAGCUAGUAGGUGGGGUAACGGCUCACCUAGGCGACGAUCCCUAGCUGGUCUGAGAGGAUGACCAGCCACACUGGAACUGAGACACGGUCCAGACUCCUACGGGAGGCAGCAGUGGGGAAUAUUGCGCAAUGGGCGCAAGCCUGAUGCAGCCAUGCCGCGUGU
rnacentral:rRNA from 1 species